rnacentral:rRNA from 1 species
GGAAGUAAAAGUCGUAACAAGGUCUCCGUUGGUGAACCAGCGGAGGGAUCAUUACCGAGUUUACAACUCCCAAACCCCAAUGUGAACGUUACCAAUCUGUUGCCUCGGCGGGAUUCUCUGCCCCGGGCGCGUCGCAGCCCCGGAUCCCAUGGCGCCCGCCGGAGGACCAACUCAAACUCUUUUUUCUCUCCGUCGCGGCUUCCGUCGCGGCUCUGUUUUACCUUUGCUCUGAGCCUUUCUCGGCGACCCUAGCGGGCGUCUCGAAAAUGAAUCAAAACUUUCAACAACGGAUCUCUUGGUUCUGGCAUCGAUGAAGAACGCAGCGAAAUGCGAUAAGUAAUGUGAAUUGCAGAAUUCAGUGAAUCAUCGAAUCUUUGAACGCACAUUGCGCCCGCCAGUAUUCUGGCGGGCAUGCCUGUCCGAGCGUCAUUUCAACCCUCGAACCCCUCCGGGGGGUCGGCGUUGGGGAUCGGCCCCUCACCGGGCCGCCCCCGAAAUACAGUGGCGGUCUCGCCGCAGCCUCUCCUGCGCAGUAGUUUGCACACUCGCACCGGGAGCGCGGCGCGGCCACAGCCGUAAAACACCCCAAACUCUGAAAUGUUGACCUCGGAUCAGGUAGGAAUCCAGU